CUGAGAUAGGCCACCACCAAGUUGGCUGAGCUGCACGAUUCAGUGCCUAAGGCUGUCAGGAAUUCACAGCUUAGGCAUCCCUCUACCAAAGUCCCCUGAGGUCUGGUAAACUUCACAGUACACCUAAUGCAUCCUGACAGCAUGAAGGUCACACCAAAACACAGGAGCCAUAGUUAUUUCUAUUCAAAGGAAGUGAUUAUUUCAGGUUCCUUUCCUUUCCAGAACUGCUCAGUCUUUUAAGAGGCUUACAAAUGUGCUACUUCAAUGAUGGUCAUUGAUACACAAUGCAAUUUCUGUCCAGUUCUGGGGAUUUUGUAUACUUUGGAAUUAAAGAAUUAACAGAUUGAUCCAGUCCUAUCUGGCAAAAAGGAUAAAUUGAAAAAUAGUCUCCAGUCCAAGCUGUAAGUUUAUACAAGGCAUUUAAUUUCCUGUCAUUUCUGUAUGACUCAGGUUACCUGUCAGGAAGUCAUGUUAAGGAACAUAAUUCUCCCCAGUCUGUGUGGGUAUAUGCACACCCACACAUGUAAAUUCAUUAAUAUGUGACUGAACAGGUUUUGAUUAAACCACACCUUUAAUUCUUACACUCAACAGGACAAUUCCUAACAGGAUUUCUGAACCUGAACCUUCAUGUCUGUUCCAUGAAUGGGAACAAAGAUUGUGGUUAAUAUGGAGCCUCAACCUGGGGGAGUGCAAGAGCUGGAGGGACUCCUGAAUGUUCCCCAUGUAUUCCAAACACAGACUGAUAAAUCUCACUUGUACAGAAAUUACUCUGGGAAAACAAUUUAAAAAAAAUCCACAGGGAGUACAAAGAUAUAUUUACUGUGAGGUAAGGCUUCAUCUUCCUAAAUUUUGACUUUAGAAAGAUGUCUUCCUGUCUGGAGAGUGGCACUUCAGUUAAGAAAAUGUUAUUUUAUUGUUUUCUGCCUUCCUUUGUUUAAUAAGUAUCUUGAUCUUCUGGUAUUUGGUGUAAUGUGCAAUUAUUUUUUAUAUGAGCCAUAAAGACUCUUUCAUGUGUCAGACCUUUAUUUAAAAAAAAUUAAAGAAAAAAAAAAUAAAAAGGAAGAGAGAAAUAGAAGACA
rnacentral:lncRNA from 1 species